UUCUCUUGGAAAAGCUGGAGAAGAGGAGU
rnacentral:piRNA from 1 species